UCUGUGUGUGGGUGUGUGGGUGUGUGUAUAUAUAUAUAUAUAUAUAUAUAUACACACACACACACACACACACUCACUCACCCUACACAC
rnacentral:miRNA from 1 species